CGGAGGGGCUAGCGUUGUUCGGAAUUACUGGGCGUAAAGCGCACGUAGGCGGUCUUUUAAGUCAGAGGUGAAAGCCCGGGGCUCAACUCCGGAAUUGCCUUUGAAACUGGGAGACUUGAACAACGGGAGAGGUGAGUGGAAUUCCGAGUGUAGAGGUGAAAUUCGUAGAUAUUCGGAGGAACACCAGUGGCGAAGGCGGCUCACUGGACCGUUGUUGACGCUGAGGUGCGAAAAGCGUGGGGAGCAAAACAGGAUU
rnacentral:rRNA from 1 species